rnacentral:rRNA from 1 species
GAUGAACGCUGGCGGCGUGCUUAACACAUGCAAGUCGAGCGAACGGACGCGAAGCUUGCUUCUCUCACGUUUGCGGCGCACGGGUGAGAAACACGUGUAUACCCCCCCUAUCUGACUGGUAUAACUUCGGGAAACCGGCUCUAACACCGUAUAAUCUCUUGCACCGCGUGGUUGAAUAGAGAAAGACGGUCUUGCUGUCACUUAUAGCUGCAUCGGGGCUGCAUUAGCUAGUUGGUAAGGUAACGGCUUACCAAGGCAACGAUGCAUAGCCGACCUGAGAGGGUGAUCGGCCGCACGGGAACUGAGACACGGUCCAGACUCCUACGGGAGGCAGCAGUAGGGAAUCUUCCGAAAUGGGCGAAAGCCUGACGGAGCAACGCCGCGUGAGUGAGGAAGGUCUUCGGAUCGUAAAACUCUGUUAUUAGGGAAGAACAUAUGUGUAAGUAACUGUGCACAUCUUGACGGUACCUAAUCAGAAAGCCACGGCUAACUACGUG